rnacentral:rRNA from 1 species
CCCAGACUCCUACGGGAGGCAGCAGUGGGGGAUAUUGCACAAUGGGGGGAACCCUGAUGCAGCGACGCCGCGCGGGUGAAGGAGCGUUUCGGCGCGUAAAGCCCUAUCGGCAGGGAAGAAGGAGGACGGUACCUGACUAAGAAGCCCCGGCUAACUACGUGCCAGCAGCCGCGGUAAUACGUAGGGGGCAAGCGUUAUCCGGAUUUACUGGGUGUAAAGGGGGCGCAGACGGCAGCGCAAGCCAGGAGUGAAAGCCCGGGGCCCAACCCCGGGACUGCUCUUGGAACUGCGCGGCUGGAGUGCAGGAGGGGCAGGCGGAAUUCCUGGUGUAGCGGUGAAAUGCGUAGAUAUCAGGAGGAACACCGGUGGCGAAGGCGGCCUGCUGGACUGCGACUGACGUUGAGGCCCGAAAGCGUGGGGAGCAAACAGGAUUAGAUACCCUGGUAACU